rnacentral:rRNA from 1 species
AACAUGCAAGUCGAACGGUAACAGGUCUUCGGAUGCUGACGAGUGGCGAACGGGUGAGUAAUACAUCGGAACGUGCCCGAUAGUGGGGGAUAACGAGGCGAAAGCUUUGCUAAUACCGCAUACGAUCUACGGAUGAAAGCAGGGGACCGCAAGGCCUUGCGCUCAUGGAGCGGCCGAUGGCAGAUUAGGUAGUUGGUGGGAUAAAAGCUUACCAAGCCGACGAUCUGUAGCUGGUCUGAGAGGAUGAUCAGCCACACUGGGACUGAGACACGGCCCAACUCCUACGGGAGGCAGCAGUGGGGAAUUUUGGACAAUGGGCGAAAGCCUGAUCCAGCCAUGCCGCGUGCAGGAUGAAGGCCUUCGGGUUGUAAACUGCUUUUGUACGGAACGAAAAGACUCUUUCUAAUAAAGAGGGUCCAUUGACGGUACCGUAAGAAUAAGCACCGGCUAACUACGUGCCACAGCCGCGGUAAUACGUAGGGUGGCAAGCGUUAAUCGGAAUUACUGGGCGUAAAGCGUGCGCAGGCGGUUAUUUAAGACAGAUUUGAAAUCCCCGGGCUCAACCUGGGAACUGCAUUUGUGACUUGCAUACUAGAGUACGGUAAAAGGGGGAUGGAAUUCCGCGUUUACANUGAAAUUGCNUAAUUUUGGGANGAACACCGAUUGGCGAANGCAACCCCCUGGACCUUGUACUGACCCUCAUUGCCCNAAAAGCNUUGGGGGAACAAACAAGGAUUUANAUUACCC